CCUUCGGGUUGUAAACCGCUUUUGUCCGGGAAGAAAAGGCAUCUCCUAAUACGAGGCGCUCUUGACGGUACUGGAAGAAUAAGCACCGGCUAACUACGUGC
rnacentral:rRNA from 1 species